rnacentral:misc_RNA from 1 species
UAAAAACCUUAUUUGUUUUCACUGUUUUAUUUAGGCGUUGUGUUUUUUCCCUUGAGUUCUGAACGAUUGGAGGUUGGUAGAGGAGAGGUGGCGGUGGAAAUUGAUAAGGACUCGUUGAUGAAUCGUUGGCUUGCCAGUGAUUUACUUUCAAUUAUUUUGGCUUGGCAAUGAAUAGAACAGAAAUAGAAUAGGAUAGUUUCUUUGUUUCAAUCAGGUCUGUUUUAGUGUCGGCCAAAAGCUUCUCUCAUAAUUAUUUGGAUUUUGUGGUUGAUUUGGAUGACUCCAAAAUAUGGGCCAGCUUUUGCUUAUG